UACGUAGGGGGCAAGCGUUGUCCGGAAUCACUGGGCGUAAAGGGCGCGUAGGCGGCCUUCUAAGUCGAACGUGAAAUCCCUGGGCUCAACCCAGGAACUGCGUCCGAUACUGGGAGGCUUGAAUCCGGGAGAGGGAUGCGGAAUUCCAGGUGUAGCGGUGAAAUGCGUAGAUAUCUGGAGGAACACCGGUGGCGAAGGCGGCAUCCUGGACCGGUAUUGACGCUGAGGCGCGAAAGCCAGGGGAGCAAACGGG
rnacentral:rRNA from 1 species